rnacentral:rRNA from 1 species
AGCAGCCGCGGUAGUUCCAGCUCCAAUAGCGUAUAUUAAAGUUGUUGCAGUUAAAAAGCUCGUAGUUGAAUUUCAGGCCUGGCUGGACGGUCCGCCCUUCGGGUGAGUACUGUCUUUGGUCGGGUCCUACCUUCUGGCGAAGCGUCAUGGCCUUAACCGGCCGUGGCGGGGAACCAGGACUUUUACUGUGAAAAAAUUAGAGUGUUCAAAGCAGGCAAUCGCUUGGAUACAUUAGCAUGGAAUAAUGGAAUAGGACAAUGGUUCUAUUUGUUGGUUUCUAGGACCGUUGUAAUGAUUAAUAGGGAUAGUUGGGGGCAUUAGUAUUCAAUUGUCAGAGGUGAAAUUCUUGGAUUUAUUGAAGACUAACUACUGCGAAAGCAUUUGCCAAGGAUGUUUUCAUUAAUCAAGAACGAAAGUUAGGGGAUCGAAGACGAUCAGAUACCGUCGUAG